rnacentral:antisense_RNA from 1 species
AACUCAGAUUUUGAGCAAACAAAGCUCUCAAGUUGGUGAUCCUCAGGAGUCUCUGCAUUAGUUGGACAGCUCUUCUGGAAUUAUCUUCUAAGUCAACUGUGGGUUGGGUAGGUGGCUCUGCUGAUUUUUCGCUGGACUUCCACAUUUGGGACCAGUUGGCUGUCAUCAGCUCUAGAAAGGGUGUGGCCGUUUUACAUUGGCUGUUUUCCUCACAUUCCUCAAGCAGGAGGGCUCUGAGAGAUUUCAUUUCUGUCCUGCUGAUGAAGUCUACUUUCAUUCAGGGCCUGCUGUGGAAGACCAGCCCCCAAAGUUGCUGAACAGAAGACUUUUGAGAGUCAGCAGAAAUCUUCCACUUUGCAUGGUUCUCUUGAUGUGAAAUCAUCUAUAUAGCCCCAGAAUUGGAAAAGAAAAAAAAUAAAAAAAUAGAAGGAA